ACGGCCAUACCACGUUGAAAGCACGCCAUCCCGUCCGAUCUGGCAAGUUAAGCAACGUUGGGCCUGGUUAGUACUUGGAUCGGAGACGGCUUGGGAAAGAUUCCCCCACGUGGGGUGGGGGUGGUGGUUUUGUUAAAAGCU